UGCAUAUCAAUAAGCGGAGGAAAAGAAACUAACAAGGAUUCCCCUAGUAACGGCGAGUGAAGCGGGAAAAGCUCAAAUUUGUAAUCUGGCGCCUUGGGCGUCCGAGUUGUAAUCUCGAGAAGUAUUUUCCGCGCUGGACCGCACAUAAGUCUGUUGGAAUACAGCGUCAUAGUGGUGAGAACCCCGUAUAGGGUGCGGAUGCCCAGUGCUUUGUGAUAUACUUUCGAAGAGUCGAGUUGUUUGGGAAUGCAGCUCAAAUUGGGUGGUAAAUUCCAUCUAAAGCUAAAUAUUGGCGAGAGACCGAUAGCGAACAAGUACCGUGAGGGAAAGAUGAAAAGCACUUUGGAAAGAGAGUUAACAGUACGUGAAAUUGUUGGAAGGGAAACGCUUGAAGUCAGACUUGCAUUUUGGAGUUCAGCCGCAAGGUGUAUUCUUCAAUUCGCAGGCCAGCAUCAGUUUUUGGGGGUGGAAAAGCGCGGUUGGAAGGUAGCAGUCUUGGCUGUGUUAUAGCUUUCCGCUGGAUUCACUUUUGGGGACUGAGGAACGCAGUACGCUUUUUGC
rnacentral:rRNA from 2 species